rnacentral:piRNA from 1 species
UAUAAAGGUCUAAGAAAAUGGAGGGUCUCA